ACGAACGCUGGCGGUCGUGGGUUUAGGCAUGCAAGUCGAGCGGUAAGGCCCGCAAGGGCCCCUAGAGCGGGCGUAAGGGUGAGUAAUGCAUAGGUAACCUACCCCUCGAACCGGGAUAGCCACGGGAAACUGUGGGUAAAACUGGAUGGUCCCCGGUGGCGGCAUCGCCAUCGCUGGUAAACGGUCGGUUUCGGCCCUCUGUCGAGGGAGGGGCUUAUGUCCUAUUAGCUAGUUGGUAGGGUAACGGCCUACCAAGGCUGUGAUGGGUAGCCGGACUGAGAGGUUGGCCGGCCCACACUGGCACUGAGACACUGGCCAGACUCCUACGGGAGGCUACAGUCGAGAAUUUUCCGCAAUGGGCGCAAGCCUGACGGGGCGACGCCGCGUGGAGGAGAAGGCCUUCGGGUUGUAAACUCCUGUCGAAGGGGACGAAUGUCACGGUCUGAAUAGGGCUCGUGGUUGACGUUACCCUAGGAGGAAGCACUUGCUAACUCUGUGCCAGCAGCAGCGGUAAUACAGAGAGUGCGAGCGUUGUUCGGAAUUACUGGGCAUAUAAGCGCACGUAGGCGGGUCCGUAAGUCGGUAGUGAAAUCCCCCGGCUCAACCGGGGAAUGGCUUCCGAUACUGCGGGUCUUGAGGACGGGAGGGGAGAGUGGAACUUCCAGUGGAGCGGUGAAAUGCGUAGAUAUUGGAAGGAACACCGGUGGCGAAAGCGACUCUCUGGUCCGUCUCUGACGCUGAGGUGCGAAAGCUAGGGUAGCAAACGGGAUUAGAUACCCCGGUAGUCCUAGCCCUAAACGAUGGGCACUAAGUAGGGGAGGUUCCGAUGCCUUCCCUGCCGGAGCUAAUGUGUUAAGUGCCCCGCCUGGGGAGUAUGGUCGCAAGGCUAAAACUCAAAGGAAUUGACGGGGGCUCACACAAGCGGUGGAGCAUGUGGUUCAAUUCGAAGCAACGCGCAGAACCUUACCUGGGUUUGACAUGCUAGGAUUAGCCCUGUGAAAGCAGGGGUGACGGCCGUAAGGCAGGAACUAGCACAGGUGCUGCAUGGCUGUCGUCAGCUCGGUGUCGUGAGAUGUCGGGUUAAGUCCCUUAACGAGCGAAACCCUUGCCGCUAGUUGCCAACGGGUCAUGCCGGGGACUCUAGCGGGACUGCCGUGGUUAACACGGAGGAAGGUGGGGAUGACGUCAAGUCCUCAUGGCCUUAUGCCCAGGGCGACACACGUGCUACAAUGGCCGGUACAAAGGGAUGCCAAGUCGCAAGGCGGAGCAAAACCCAGAAAGCCGGCCCCAGUUCGGAUUGUGGGCUGCAACUCGCCCACAUGAAGUUGGAAUCGCUAGUAAUCGCGGUAUCAGCCACGACACGGUGAAUAUGUUCCUGAGCCUUGUACACACCGCCCGUCAAGCCCACGAAAGCUGGUAGUACCCGAAGCCGCUGACCCCAACCCGCAAGGGAGGGAGGCGUCUACGGUAAGACUAGUGAUUGGGACU
rnacentral:rRNA from 1 species